rnacentral:lncRNA from 12 species
ACAAGAGAAACAGCAGCUGAAGACACACCCCAUUCAGAAACAGACUCCCAGCACUAGACCCUGAGUAAAAGUUUGAAAGAGAUUCUUCCCACAUGUGUCCUGGUUCUCACCUGCCACACGCUAUCUGACACAGGAGACAAUGAGUACUCUCUGGCUGUUGGAGAUUGUUUUUGGGAGUGUUGGUGAGAAGCUCCACAUGACUCAGCAAUGUGCACUUGCAGCCCAGAAUGCCAAUCCCAU